UACGUAGGGUGCAAGCGUUAAUCGGAAUUACUGGGCGUAAAGCGUGCGCAGGCGGGGAUGUAAGACAGAUGUGAAAUCCCCGGGCUCAACCUGGGAACUGCAUUUGUGACUGCAUCGCUGGAGUACGGCAGAGGGGGAUGGAAUUCCGCGUGUAGCAGUGAAAUGCGUAGAUAUGCGGAGGAACACCGAUGGCGAAGGCAAUCCCCUGGGCCUGUACUGACGCUCAUGCACGAAAGCGUGGGGAGCAAACAGG
rnacentral:rRNA from 1 species